rnacentral:rRNA from 1 species
UUUAUGGAGAGUUUGAUCCUGGCUCAGGAUGAACGCUGGCGGCGUGCCUAAUACAUGCAAGUCGAGCGAACGGACGAGAAGCUUGCUUCUCUGAUGUUAGCGGCGGACGGGUGAGUAACACGUGGAUAACCUACCUAUAAGACUGGGAUAACUUCGGGAAACCGGAGCUAAUACCGGAUAAUAUUUUGAACCGCAUGGUUCAAAAGUGAAAGACGGUCUUGCUGUCACUUAUAGAUGGAUCCGCGCUGCAUUAGCUAGUUGGUAAGGUAACGGCUUACCAAGGCAACGAUGCAUAGCCGACCUGAGAGGGUGAUCGGCCACACUGGAACUGAGACACGGUCCAGACUCCUACGGGAGGCAGCAGUAGGGAAUCUUCCGCAAUGGGCGAAAGCCUGACGGAGCAACGCCGCGUGAGUGAUGAAGGUCUUCGGAUCGUAAAACUCUGUUAUUAGGGAAGAACAUAUGUGUAAGUAACUGUGCACAUCUUGACGGUACCUAAUCAGAAAGCCACGGCUAACUACGUGCCAGCAGCCGCGGUAAUACGUAGGUGGCAAGCGUUAUCCGGAAUUAUUGGGCGUAAAGCGCGCGUAGGCGGUUUUUUAAGUCUGAUGUGAAAGCCCACGGCUCAACCGUGGAGGGUCAUUGGAAACUGGAAAACUUGAGUG